UCCCUGGUAGCUCAGAUGGUAAAGCAUCUGACUGCAAUGCAGGAGACCCAGGUUCGAUCCCUGGGUUGGGAA
rnacentral:tRNA from 1 species